CAAAACUGAGCACUGCAUGAUGGCUUAAUUAAAAAGGAAAAGGCUGACCAUCAUAUUGGUCGAAGAGGAGGGAAUCCAAAGCCUUUUCUUACACUCUUGAACUUUCAUGAAGGAGCCUGAUGAGUUGUUUUCCUAUGAUGUUACAUGGACCACAUGGGAGGAAGGUAGAGACCGUACUGAAAUUGUCCGGCUAUGGUGCUCUGUGCUUCUUCUCAUCUCUGAGUCACCUGCGCGGGAGAUGACUUUCAACUUGAUCAUUUAAUCCUCUCCCUGAGGCUGCAGUUGCAGACAGCCUCACCAUUAACAUCCUAGACAUACUGUGGCUGCUCUACAUCGUGCACUGGAGGAGUUAUCUCCCAACUUAACAGCUGCUUCUUCUGCUUCCAGCUGGAGGGGCAGUGCAGCAGUGGAAAACACAGGAGAAAUUUGGGCUGGCUUGGCCAGAAUCCUGUCUGGGAUCCCCUGAGGAGAAGAUGUUGCCAUGGCAGCUUUGCUGUUCUUUCAACUGGUGCAAUAGCUGCUGUUGCUACAUUAAGCCAGCUCUGCUGGUCUGUGAAGGAGGUGACCUGCCACAGCUGUCGUGCUGUUCAUGCCUCUAGACCGUAACAGCCAGCUCCGGCACACAAUGGGCUGCAGCUUUCACUGAGGGACUCAAGCUGGCCCAGUAAGGUACAUCCUAGAAAUGAGAAAGUAAAUGUACUUUCAUUUUAGAUCUGAGCUCCACAGUGGCAUUUAUCCAUUCCUAGGUUUUUUGUGCCUAUGACAUACAAAGAUACUACCAAAAAACUCUGAUGAAGGGCUGAACAGUUGAGAUCUAGAGACUCGGAUCUUCAUCUAAUAAGAUGUUCUCAGUCGUUUAUUUGAAGAACCGGGUGAGGUUGUCCCCUUUGCAAACACAGCCAAAGUGCUAACACCCUUCUACCUCUUACAGAAGGUCUGCUGGCUGGAUCACACAGACGGGCCAGAGUAGAAGCUCUUUGUCUCUCAAAUCCACAUCUCACACUUCACUGGAGAAAACCCUAAGGCCACCAAUGACUCUGAGCAGCAAACAUUCGCCCGUCUAGCCUGCUGAAACUGUGCCAGAUGAAAUCAAUGAGAUCAUAAGCAUUUAAACAGUAAUUACUACUGCUCAACCAGCUAACAAUGUCCUUUAUCAUACACAGCCUCAGUCCUAUCCCUUCACUUCAGCUAUAAACAAAGCACAUCAAACCGGAGGUGGUAUAAAUUUAUGUGCAGGUUGUAGCCUCUGCUCCUCUUCUUCUCAAUGUAACAAUCAUUACUGAAUAAAGAAGGAAGAGGUAUAGUUUAUUGCAUACUGAUUUUGCAGUCCUCAGAAAGAUACAACCCAUCUUACAGAGUAGGACUGAAAAAUGAACACAUGAUUAAGAGCUCUGAGAUUUCUGUGUUAAGAAGAGACAUAGCGAUGUUGCUGUGAUUUAAUUCAUGCAUGCAUGCACUUCAACCCAGACUAAUUCCCUGGGGUUAAAAUGAAA